rnacentral:rRNA from 1 species
GCGCACCCCACUUGCCAAGUGCCGCCAGGCUAACGCGAUUAGUAUCCGCCCUGGGGAGUACGCAUCGCAGUGUGAACUCCAAAGGGAAUGACGGGGUCCCGCACAGCCGGAGGAAACAUGUGGUUAACUACGAUGAUACGCGAGGAACCCUACCCUGGGCUUGAACUGCAGGCGAACGAUACAGAGAUGUUGAGGCCCAUCGGGGCGCCUGUGGAGGUGCUGCAUGGUGUCGUCAGCUCGUGCCGUGAGGUGUCGGCUUAAGUGCCAUAACGAGCGCAACCCUUUUCAUUAGUUGCCAUCAGGUAAUGCUGGGCACUCUGGUGAUACUGCCACCGUAAGGUGUGAGGAAGGUGGGGAUGACGUCAAAUCAGCACGGCCCUUACGUCCGGGGCUACGGGGGGUGUUACAAUGGGUGGUACAGAGAGUCGGAUCAACGCAAGUGGGGGGGGGGGCCUUAAAGCCAUCCUCAGUUCGGAUUGGGGUCUGCAACCCGACCCCAUGAAGCUGGAUUCGCUAAAAAAUCGCGCAUCAGCCAUGGCGCGGUGAAUACGUUCCCGGGCCUUGUACACACCGCCCGUCAAGCCAUGAAAGCCGGGGGCGCUUGAAGUCCGUGACCGCAAGGAUCGGCCUAGAGCGAAACUGGUAAUUGGGGUUAAG